CCCCUCUCUCUCCCUCCCUCCCUUUCUCUCUCUCUCUCUCUCUCUCUCUCUCUCUCCAAUGGUGUUCUUCGACCUCAACAUCCCCUACCACGAAUCCGACAAACACGUCCCGGACAAAUCCGCCAGAAAAACCACCCGCCUCAAACUCGCCGUCAAGGCCAUGGAGCUGGGCUACACCGGAGUCGCCUACAACCGCACGAUCAAGGGCGUGAUGUCCGAACACGACCGCUGCGCAACCCCUAAGUUCCCUCUCUCCUCCGUCCUCAAACUCGCGCCUUCUCUCUCUUCCGCCGUCAAGCUCCACCGCCACGUCCUCGGCGUCCCCGCCUCCGCCCCAUUCCGCCAGUACACGCGUUUGACGGUCGUGGUCGACAGCUCGGCUCAGGUGGCGGCUCUCAAUUCUGGCAAUCCGAUUUUAAAGACGUAUGAUGUCGUCGCUGUUAAGCCUUUGAGUCAGAACGCGUUCGAGCAAGCGUGUAAGGCUUCUGAGGUGGAUUUGAUUGCGAUUGAUUUUUCAGAGAAGCUGCCUUUUAGGUUGAAGCAACGAUUGGUUAAAGAUGCAAUUGAGCGUGGUGUCUCUUUUGAAAUCACGUAUUCACGUCUUAUCAUGGAUGCUCAAGUGAGGAGACAAAUGAUAUCAAAUGCCAAGCUACUGGUGGAUUGGACUCGAGGAAAGAAUCUCAUCGUCUCAAGUGCUGCCUCUUCUGUGACUGAACUGAGAGGGCCAUAUGAUGUUGCAAAUUUAUCAUCGCUGCUUGGGCUCUCUAUGGAACACGCUAAAGCAGCUCUUUCCAAGAAUUGUAGAUCUCUUAUUGCUAAUGCUACAAGGAAAAAACAGUUUUACAAGGAGGCAAUCAGAGUUGAAGUUAUUCCAUCAGGGGAGCAACUUGACUCCAAGGAAUCUUGCUUGAGCGAUUGGCUUAAAUGGGAUCCCAUCUCUAGCGGCGAGGGUGAUUUGCUAUUAGAUGACAUGGCCAAGUCCUUCUCUGCCUCCUCUAAAGUAUCCAAAACUGUGAAAGCCAUUGACUUUGCGGCAGUUGUGGAUAGUUUGCCAUCCCGUGGGUUGCAAGUUUGUGAUUUGAAAUCUACAACUGAGGCUGCAGUGCAGCCACUGGAUGUUGGUAAAAACUUGUCUGCUGUUGGGAGAGCUGAUGUCCCAAUUGUAGUAACUGGAGUUUCUCAGCAGCUAGAGUCUCUCGAGGAUCUUGCUAAAGCAGAUCAGACUUCAUCAUACAAUAUGCCAUCCCAACAUUUCAUCCAUAGCUGUGAAGAUUCUAUGGAUUCAUUUUCCCCCACUACUACUAUGAGACACUUCGAUAAUGCUGAGGAAAUCUUAAUGCAUACCGCCAACAGUGAAGAAGAACCUAAGAACUCAAAUGGGCUGGAUGUAGAUAUAUCCCUACGUGGAACUGAAGUGCAUAAUUUGCAAUCCCAGAGUUGCAUCACUCAUUGUGAUGCUUGGGUUUUCUUACCUGAUAGUACUGCAGAAGUUCACACUUCAGCAAUGGAGACUGAGAUUGCUUCAACCUGUAAUGCCAUUGUUGAUGUUGAGAAUCCAACUCCAUGCAAGGAUCUUGAUUUUUCUGCCUUCCCGGGUGAUGAGGCUAAGAUUUCAUGUAGUUCGGAUGGAAUUUUAGGUGUACAAGAUCAUGGAAUGGAAGAAGGCUUAAUUGGAAAAAAUGCCAACAGUAAAGUAGAUUUAUCAUCGGCUUCACAUGAGGUGUGUUUGCAUGAAGAUUUUAUGGAAAGAGAACAGUUCAGGGAAACAAGAGAUGAUUCAGUAUUUGUUGCUGAUGGAUUGCCAGCUGAGUCUUAUCGUGAGAUGGAAGAUAGCGAUGAUCAUCCUGCAGAGAAUUGCGAGCCGCCGGAUGAGGUGGUAAUUGAAGAUCACAAGAGGAUAGAUAUUCAAGCUGAAGUUAAUUGUCCAGCUUCGAAUGAUUCCUCAGGGAAGGGCAAAGUAAAACCAAGAAGAAGGAUACCUAGCCGAGCCUUUUCAUUCCCUCUGAAGCGUUUGUUGAAUCCUGCACCUUUCAAGAGGAAAGCUCAAAAGUUGAAAACCAAGACUAAAUUGCUGUGACUGUGAUUGGCAAAGCUAAUUGUCAAGUCACUCAACUCUCUAAAGCUAAUUGUCAAGUCACCCAACUCUCUUAUGCAAGGAAAUUUCGUGGAGCCAGACAAGUGAUAUAUGCUUUCAGCAGUGUGUUGUGGGUUCUAGUAUUGGAAAUCGUUCUCUCCCCAAAAAGUGAAGAGUAAGGUUUCUUACUUAUGCAGUUUCUGUUAAUAUAUUAGUAAGGGGAAGUGCCUAUAACGCGUAUGUUAUGUAGGCCUUGCGGGUACGCAGUGUUUGGCGUCUUUGGGCCCCUUUGUUCUAUGAGAGCCACUACCACCUCAAGUCCCAUGAAUUUGACCAUUAGAUCAAGAAUCCAUCCCAGAUUCUCAAGUGACAAGCGGCUCAGUAAAGCCCCACACUUCACUAUAUGAUCACUGGUAUAAAGUAUGCACCCACUAGUCGAGUUAUAGAGGUAAAUUAUUCAUCCUCUUGAUCUGAAUUUGAUUAGUUUGAGAUUUCAAAUUUGGAAGUAAAUGGAGUGU